CUCCAGUAAGCCAAGACCACAUGGAAAUACAUAGGUUAAUAGAAAUGGGUUAAUAAUUAAGACCGAGCUAGUCAACAAGAAGCCCUAGCCACUGGUCAACAGUUUUUUAAUUAAUAUAGCAUCUGGGUGUUUAUUUGGGGCUGAAGGGGCUUCGGGACCCAGCGGCAGGACAAGGAGACCUACAGCAGCAAACAACAUAGAGCCAGAUGAAAGUGAGUCCCAGGGCAGUUGGAACUGCCAUCCAGGAUCUGAGGAACAGCGGGAACUUGAACCUGAGUUUGUCUGUCCAAAAGUCCCCUCUCAUACCAGAGUGACAGCGAAGAGCACCAUCACACCUACAGCUCUGAGUGUGUGCUGUCUUUGCUUCUAGACAAGGGGACAAAUCCUCAGCUCCCAACAGCAGCCAAGGCCUAGGAGUGUAAUCACCAGGAAUCCUAUAAGCGCUGAUAAGAUACGGCUUCCUCCAAUGAAGACACUGGCUGUUAGGGACAGGCUGCUCAGCCACCUUCUGCCCACACAGCCGCACAAGCACGGCCUGUCCUCAGCAAGCGCCUGGGAGAACACAAGCUUGGGGAUUUGCAGGACUGGUUUCUCUUCAUGCCGGAGCUUCAGUGUGACAGUCAAC
rnacentral:lncRNA from 1 species